rnacentral:rRNA from 1 species
UUGACCUCGAAUCUGGUAUGAAUAUCCGCUGAACUUAAGCAUAUAUAUAAGCGGAGGANNNNNNNNNNNNNNNNNNNNNNNNAGUAACGGCGAGUGAAGCGGUAACAGCUCAAAUUUGAAAUCUGGCUCCUCUGGAGUCCGAGUUGUAAUUUGUAGAAGAUGCUUUGGGUUGUGGGUUCGGCCUAAGUUCCUUGGAACAGGACGUCAUAGAGGGUGAGAAUCCCGUAUGUGGCCGAGGCCCGCGCCUAUGUAAAGCUCUUUCAACGAGUCGAGUUGUUUGGGAAUGCAGCUCAAAAUGGGUGGUAAAUUUCAUCUAAAGCUAAAUAUGGGCCAGAGACCGAUAGCGCACAAGUAGAGUGAUCGAAAGAUGAAAAGCACUUUGGAAAGAGAGUUAAACAGUACGUGAAAUUGUUGAAAGGGAAGCGCUUGCACCCAGACUUGGGCGCUGCUGAUCACCUUGCGGUCUCCGCGAGUGCACUCGACAGCGCACAGGCCAGCAUCGGUUCGGGUGGCUGGAUAAAGGCCGUAGGAACGUAGCUCCCUUCGGGGAGUGUUAUAGCCUACGGUGCCAUGCAGCCCAGCCGGACCGAGGACCGCGCCUUCGGGCUAGGAUGCUGGCGUAAUGGGUGUAAGCGACCCGUCUUGAAACACGGACCAAGGAGUCUAACAUCUAUGCGAGUGUUUGGGUGGUAAACCCAUACGCGGAAUGAAAGUGAACGUAGGUGAGAACCCCUUUGGGGCGCAUCAUCGACCGAUCCUGAUGUCU